AGAGUUUGAUCCUGGCUCAGAACGAACGCUGGCGGCAGGCCUAACACAUGCAAGUCGAGCGCACCUUUAGAACUUCGGUUUUAUGGGCGAGCGGCGGACGGGUUAGUAACGCGUGGGAACGUGCCCUUCUCUACGGAAUAGCCAUUGGAAACGAUGAGUAAUACCGUAUACGCCCUUCGGGGGAAAGAUUUAUCGGAGAAGGAUCGGCCCGCGUAAGAUUAGAUAGUUGGUGGGGUAACGGCCUACCAAGUCUACGAUCUUUAGCUGGUUUUAGAGGAUGAUCAGCAACACUGGGACUGAGACACGGCCCAGACUCCUACGGGAGGCAGCAGUGGGGAAUCUUGGACAAUGGGCGCAAGCCUGAUCCAGCCAUGCCGCGUGUGUGAUGAAGGCCCUAGGGUCGUAAAGCACUUUCGCCAGAGAUGAUAAUGACAGUAUCUGGUAAAGAAGUCCCGGCUAACUCCGUGCCAGCAGCCGCGGUAAUACGGAGGGGACUAGCGUUGUUCGGAAUUACUGGGCGUAAAGCGUACGUAGGCGGAUCAGAAAGUAAGGGGUGAAAUCCCAGGGCUCAACCCUGGAACUGCCUCUUAAACUCCUGGUCUUGAGUUCGAGAGAGGUGAGUGGAAUUCCGAGUGUAGAGGUGAAAUUCGUAGAUAUUCGGAGGAACACCAGUGGCGAAGGCGGCUCACUGGCUCGAUA
rnacentral:rRNA from 1 species